GAACCUCGGGGCAUGGGGGAGGGAGGCUGGACAGGAGAGGGCUCACCCAGGCCCUGUCCUCUGCCCCAG
ensembl:miRNA MIR6775 microRNA 6775